rnacentral:lncRNA from 1 species
AACAAAAACAACCAUGUCAUUUUCAGCAUGCAUGUUUAGUGAAUGUCGAGGCUGAAGCGUAGGACAACUCGUACACUCCUGUUUCAAAUUGGACAAUGUUUUGUUAUUUGUUUUUACUGUUGAAAUUAGUUGUUAUGUUAAAAUAGAUAAUUAUUCACCUUGAGCGAUGUGUUAUUGUUGACCAUUCCAGAUUCUUUUUUCGCGAACCCGUCUUCAGCUGAAUGUGUGAUUACUGUAUUACUACACGGGCCUCAAGGGAUUUCAAAUCGAAAACAAAUGCAAAAUAUGUGUUUUUGUGUCUUUCAAAACACAAAUAAUAUACAGAAU